UACGUAGGGGGCAAGCGUUGUCCGGAAUCAUUGGGCGUAAAGCGCGUGUAGGCGGCUCGGUAAGUCCGCUCUGAAAGUCCAGGGCUCAACCCUGGGAUGCGGGUGGAUACUGCCGGGCUCGAGUCCGGAAGAGGCGAGUGGAAUUCCCGGUGUAGCGGUGAAAUGCGCAGAUAUCGGGAGGAACACCAAUGGCGAAGGCAGCUCGCUGGGACGUGACUGACGCUGACGACGCGAAAGCGUGGGAGCAACAGGG
rnacentral:rRNA from 1 species